UGUCGAUUAAAAGCUCGAAUUAAGAUAAACCUUAAUAUAUCUUAAUUCGUGAUUAAAAGUAAUGUCAAUUCUAGGUUUUUAUAUUUUAAUACAAUGUCUAUUUAAAUUAAUAGAGAUUCAAAGAUUCUUAGUUUCAAAUAAUUGUACAUUCAAAGUGACGUUUUUCAAAGUUUUUAGAUGCUAUCCAUUGAGUCCGCGGGUAAUUGUGUUGUUUCCAGUCUUGUAUAUCUUAGUCCGUAACCGUGCACAUGGGAGCUCAGCGGGGGAGGGUCAAGAGGGGU